ACUCAAAUGAAUAGACGGGGGCCCGCACAAGCAGCGGAGCGUGUGGUUUAAUUCGAGGCUACGCGAAGAACCUUACCAGGGAUUGACAUGCAGAUGGUAGCGAGGUGAAAGCUGAGCGACCCUUCGGGGAGUCUGCACAGGUGCUGCAUGGCUGUCGUCAGCUCGUGCCGUGAGGUGUUAGGUUAAGUCCUGUAACGAGCGCAACCCUCGUCGUUAGUUACAAGUGUCUAACGAGACCGCCGGUGAUAAGCCGGAGGAAGGUGGGGAUGACGUCAAGUCAGCAUGGCCUUUAUAUCCUGGGCUACACACACGCUACAAUGGCCGGUACAAUGGGCAGCGAAACCGCGAGGUGGAGCCAAUCCCGCAAAGCCGGUCUCAGUUCGGAUUGCAGGCUGCAACUCGCCUGCAUGAAGUCGGAGUUGCUAGUAACCGCGCGUCAGCACAGUGCGGUGAAUACGUUCCCGGGCCUUGCACACACCGCCCGU
rnacentral:rRNA from 1 species